AAGGGAGAAGUCGUCAAGGUAUUCCUUUCAACUUGGCCUCCCAAAUUGAACUGCAGAGCACAAGCACAUAUAUAUACAGGAGCAAGGGGACUCUACUUCUGCUGAGUCUCGAUCUGUGAAGUGUGCCUGUCCUCCAGUUCGCACAAAGUAGAGCUGGAGCAUGAAGCAAGUGGAAUCUCCUACGAGCCAAAAUAAAGGCAACUCCAUUUAGUUUUCAGGGAUCAAAUGAUUUUAUGUUCUUUGUGUAUAUGUUUGCCUUUUAACUAUUUCCACUAGUUCCAACAGGCAUUUUAAAAUUUGUUUCUGCAAAUGGCCCAAUCUUACUGCAUUUUUCUAAAAAAUUCCAUUAUGUUUUAAUUCAGUUAAAAUUAGUUAUUUAUUCUUCCAUGUACAUCUCUUUCAUUAAUAUCUAACAUCUAUGGUUUGUUUGUCCAAGGUUGUCCCUCUUUACAAAAUUCACAUUGAAAUCGUUGAAAGCAUAUGAACUAUUAAAGAAGAAAAGUUUGAUUAUUUUCACAUGCUUUUCAGUAUUUCUGUGGACAAUGACAUGACUAACUCUCCGUUCCAUGCAUCUGGCAUCGGAGAUCAAGCACUGGAACGUACUUGUGAGUAAACCAAACCAAAUUAAGGAAUUUUUCAGGUGGGCAAUGGAAGGCCUCAUGUCUCCAAACAUCAGGUAAAGUUGUUGGCCGUUGGGUUUUAGUGCGGCGAGUUGAUUUCAAUCGGAAAACUUGAUUUCCGGCUAACUAAACCUUUUCCUUGGAAUGAAAAACUUGAUUUCCGGCUACCUUAACUGUCCGGAGAGGUAGAGCCAUGGAGAUGCAAUGCCUAUAUAGUUAAACAUUUCUGGCUCUUUAGUAGGAUGAGUUGGUUUCUUAUACAAACUAAUAUGUUGCUUGUUUUUUCUAGUUUGAUGUAUUAUCAUCAUAUAUUGUCAAGGUGGCAAACAAAGUUCUUGAUUAGAAUUCUGAGAAAUCAAAUGAUUUUAUAUGUAUAAUCUCGAUCCUCUUUGAGGCUGAAUCGUACUCCACUGAAGAUGGUAUUGUAUGAUGUUCUUGCAACACUUUUAGAUGCGCUUUCUAUAAUAAUGAAUAGUCCAUUUGC